rnacentral:rRNA from 1 species
UACGUAGGUGACGAGCGUUAUCCGGAAUUACUGGGCGUAAAGCGCACGCAAGCGGUUGGACAAGUCUGGCGUGAAAUCUCCUGGCUUAACUAGGAGCGGUCGCUGGAAACUGUUCGGCUUGAGGCGAUGAGAGGGGUGCAGAAUUCCCGGUGUAGUGGUGGAAUGCGUAGAGAUCGGGAGGAAUACCAGUGGCGAAAGCGGCACCCUGGCGUCGUACUGACGCACAUGUGCGAAAGCGUGGGGAGCAAACAGG